rnacentral:rRNA from 1 species
GACGAACGCUGGCGGCGCGCCUAACACAUGCAAGUCGAACGAGCGAGAGAGAGCUUGCUUUCUCGAGCGAGUGGCGAACGGGUGAGUAACGCGUGAGGAACCUGCCUCAAAGAGGGGGACAACAGUUGGAAACGACUGCUAAUACCGCAUAAGCCCACGACCCGGCAUCGGGUAGAGGGAAAAGGAGCAAUCCGCUUUGAGAUGGCCUCGCGUCCGAUUAGCUAGUUGGUGAGGUAACGGCCCACCAAGGCGACGAUCGGUAGCCGGACUGAGAGGUUGAACGGCCACAUUGGGACUGAGACACGGCCCAGACUCCUACGGGAAGCAGCAGUGGGGAAUAUUGCACAAUGGGGCAAACCCUGAUGCAGCGACGCCGCGUGGAGGAAGAAGGUCUUCGGAUUGUAAACUCCUGUUGUUGAGGAAGAUAAUGACGGUACUCAACAAGGAAGUGACGGCUAACUACGUG